GGAGGGAGGAACACCUUGAGAGGAGUUGAGAUCCUGCUUUCUCUUCAGAAUGCCAUCUCUAGGAUGCCAAUGGGCUGUGUCUACAGUACUAUGUAGGAAAGCGCUGCAAGAGUUUCAGGAAAUUAUGGAUAAAGCUGCCAUACAAAUCCAUGUGCAGGUUUUUCAAUGGAUGUAUGUUUUCAUUUUCUUCAGUGACUCUGGAAGGUUGUGCUGAGAACUCUGAAGGCUUGCUGUGACUUUUUGGAGAGCCCAUUUUGCCUAAACAAGAACCACGAUUAUGUAAAGUUCUUUCUGUCACCUCUCUGAAGACCUGGUUCAUAUCUGCAGCUGCAACUCUAUCCCUGAACUCAUCUUUGAAACUACCCAGAGAUAGACUGUCAAGAGCUUUAGAGCUUUACAACAGGAUCUUCCAAGUGCCCUGAGAGGUCAUGAUGGAGCCAAUAGAAAUAAAUCAUACAAAACAAAGCCAGAACCUGGUGGGAGGGAUGCUUACAAAACAACAUAAACAAGAAGUUGUCUGAAAAAAAAUUGUAUGGAAGGAAGAAGAGAUGAGAUAAUGGAAAUGAACUCAUAAUAGCCCCAGUUAAAAUACUUACAGUAAAAUAUCAUUAGUACUACUUGAUGUUGGUGAAAGGCUCUAGACUCAAGUCAGAAGGCCCAAGUCGUUGCUGUGAUUUCUUGAACAAAUUAUGUAAUUUUGUUGAGAUUCAGUUUUCUUUUCUAUCAUUGGGUAUUAAUAACUUCUAUGUGAUGUCAGAGUUAUGAUGUGAAGUUAAAAUAACUAAUAAAUGGGUAAACCCUGAAAAUUUGAUAGAAUUUUGUGAAUGAGGGAAUC